rnacentral:tRNA from 1 species
AAGGUUUUAAGUUAAAUAAACUAGUAGCCUUCAAAGUUUCCAAUAGGGAGUAACACCCUAAACCUUA